rnacentral:lncRNA from 1 species
UGUCCUGCAAGCGAGCCUCGGGACCUGGGUUCUCUGUGACGUCCUGGCCUUCAGCUAAGGAGCAUGUUGGCAUGGGAUGUGGGAAAUGGCAAGACCCCAGAAAUGGACAGAUAGAAGGAAAGACGGCUGCUAAGCAGACAUUAUGCUACACAGAGUCCAGGCCAGCCCAUGUCGCAGAGCGGUUACUUACAUUAAGAAAGGAUUCUGUGUCAAGUGUUUGAGUUAAUUUCUACCUCUUAGGAUCGAGGGAAGUAGGGUUUAAUAUUUCCAUGUAGGGAGAGGAACACCCAGGCUCAGGGAAGUAACUGACCUACUCUCGCGUGGUUCCAGAGGUGGAUUUUCGGACACCAAAGUCGUUCUCCCACCCUGAAGGUCCCAUUCAAGCCAGAGCCGGAGUGUAAGGUCAUGGAUUCUCCCACUCGCUUGCCCUAGGGGUUAAAUUGUACACUGCCCCUGUUAAGGCAUAUCCAGGACUUUAAAGGUCUCCCUGUUGGCCAACACUAACCUGGGAUGGUGAAGUCAGGAUAAUGAAUUCCCUUCACUUACCCUUCAGAGAACUGUGAAGUGUGCUCAGCCAGGGCCAGCCUCGGUCUGACUGAUGGUGUCCCCAACGUACCAACAUUUUGGCCUCCUGUGGUCACAUGAGCCAGAAUGUGCAUGCAUCCACAAGACCAUCCUGGGGCCAACGUUUCCAUGUUUGAACACAAUAAAAAAAAUUUCAAGAUGGCUCUAGAACAGAGGUCAAUAUACUUAUUUUCAAGAUAGUAAAUAUAUUUGGAUUUGUGGUUCAUAUGAUCUCUAAGGGCUCAACGUCGCUUUUGUAGUGCCAAUAGCACGGACUAUGCAUAGGAGAAAUAGUGUGUUUGUGUCCCAAUAAAUCCUGUUUACAAAAACAUGUGGCAGGCCACACACCUAUUAGAAUAGCCAAAAUACAGAACACUGACGUUAUGGUUUAGAUCCAGAAUGUCCCCAAAAUUCUUACAGGAGUGGCUUCUGGAAGGUGAUUUGAUCAAGGUGGCUUAUACUAUUACUAAUGAAUUCAGCAACUGAGUGGGCAGAUGGGAGCUGGUCACUGACUGAGAAGACUUUAUCCCCCCCACCCCUCCCCAGAUCCUCCCUCCUUUCUCUGCUUUCUGGCUCCCAUGAUGUG